rnacentral:misc_RNA from 1 species
UAAUCUCAAUACAAUCAUCUCUGGUUGUAUGUGGAUCUGGAUGCUGCCGUGUGCUACAAACGGCUCGUCUGAAAUGCCUGAGUGUACCCUGUUUUGCAGCGUAUUCGGUGUGAUACAUCUUCACCGGAGUUUGACCUUUCGGGGUCACGUCUGCUCACUUAUGGCUCUAUGCUUCAAACUGUCUUGACCAGACAAUGCCUGACA